rnacentral:rRNA from 1 species
GACGAACGCUGGCGGCGUGCUUAACACAUGCAAGUCGAACGGAAAGGCCCUGCUUUUGUGGGGUGCUCGAGUGGCGAACGGGUGAGUGACACGUGAGUAACCUGCCCUUGACUUUGGGAUAACUUCAGGAAACUGGGGCUAAUACCGGAUAGGAGCUCCUGCUGCAUGGUGGGGGUUGGAAAGUUUCGGCGGUUGGGGAUGGACUCGCGGCUUAUCAGCUUGUUGGUGGGGUAGUGGCUUACCAAGGCUGUGACGGGUAGCCGGCCUGAGAGGGUGACCGGCCACAUUGGGACUGAGAUACGGCCCAGACUCCUACGGGAGGCAGCAGUGGGGAAUAUUGCACAAUGGGCGGAAGCCUGAUGCAGCAACGCCGCGUGCGGGAUGACGGCCUUCGGGUUGUAAACCGCUUUCGCCUGUGACGAAGCGUGAGUGACGGUAAUGGGUAAAGAAGCACCGGCUAACUACGUG